rnacentral:lncRNA from 1 species
AUGGUCAAAUUUCUGGGAAGAGUGGAGGCUGGGUGGAUGGGUGGUCUAGAGGCCAGGAGCUCAGGUGGGAAGCCCCUGAGAUGGCCGCCUCCUGGACAGGUCGGGGACAUGCAGGGUUCCGGGUGGACUGGCCUGGUUGUGGGGAGGGUCCUCCCAGUGGAUCCCAGCUCCUUCUUCCUCUGGGGAAAGUGCUGGGCUAUUCAAACGCUGGCCUCCACAGCCGCUGAGGACGUGGUCAGUGCAGUCUUGACGUCACCCACCCCCCACCCCCCGCCUGCCACCUGCUCCCACCCAGGAGAUGGAAGCAGAGAGCCCUGUGGAGAGCCAGCCCCAGCCCCAGCCCCAGGAGAGGAGUCAGGCACAGAGGCUGCUAUGGGGGCGGGGCGGGGCGGGGCGGAAGCCAGCCUCCAGGGGCCUUUGUUCUCACGACCUCGGAGGUCAGAACUGAGCAGGCACGAAGUUGUCAGCUCUGCAGAUCCAGAACACUCCAUUUGGCCUGGCCCAGAGGGAGAGGCCUGGGAGGGAAGGCCCCCAGGAGCAGCCAGCCCUGGAGCUCUGGGUCCAAGCCCACCCUACCUGCUGCACUACACACCCAGCAGCUGGGCUCUGCCACCAACCCCUGGCCCCGACGUCCACCUGCCACUGGCUGCCCGGCCCCCAUCAAGGGCUCCUCAGCUCUCUCCCAGACCAACUCACAGAUCCUUUGUUGCAUUUUGCCACAAUGCUUCCAGAUUUCACUGGUGCCAUCUCCCCACACCUGUGCCACACCAUGGGCUUGCAUCUCCCAGCAACUCCUGCGCCCUCCAUAGAGGAAGAAACAGGCCCAGGGCACAGAAGUCAAGAGCAAAGCCGCAACCUCUGGGCUCCCCGCCACCUUCCCAAGGCCUCACAGCCCCCAGCCCUCUGGCCCUUCCCCGGGCACCUGGCCAACAGCCUCCUGCACCAAUAUCCCCAUCCAAGCCCCUGAGCCCCUGCGACUCUCCUGGAACCCUGGGGAGAACUACCCACGUGUGA